UUCUUAUCAAGAGAGGUUUAGGGAAUUGGCCCGUUGACGCCUCAGCAACCUUCAUUGCCCAGAACAAUGAAAAGGUGCUAACUCCAUCAAGUUUUAAUAACUUGAAAGAUAAGAA
rnacentral:ncRNA from 2 species